rnacentral:lncRNA from 1 species
CGAGAUUUCCCUUGGAAUAGCAACUUUGCUCAUUAAAUUCGUUUGUUUACUAAGAAAAUACGAUCGUCACCAAAUUAUAAACUACCAAAUAAUUACGACUUGUAAUUAUCUAUAUUUUGUUUCAGUUAACAUUUAAACUGUUUUCUAUCUAUAGAAUUUAAUGAAUAACUCUUUUAUUUUGCAUGCCACCUCCAAUAUGGCGUCACAGUCAACAAGUGUUUUCAUUGACAGGUAAGAAGGGCUUUUGUAGUAAUUUUCAACUUCACUGUUUACUGAUAAUCAUUUGGGAGUUUACAAAAAAAGUGUAAAAAUACUCAGUCAUAAAAAUAUUUGUUUGUCAAUCCAUAGGUGGUUUUUGGUAUCAUGAUUUAUGUGUCUUGGAAUCAGGACUCUGAAGUUAUGUUGGUUGAGUAAUAAGUUGCAGACCCUACGACCGGUCUUUGGACAUGUUUACGUUACUAUCAGAAUGACUUUGUUUUUUUUAUUUUCCAGAUUGAAUAUGCAUCAGGUUUCGGAAAUUCCAGAAGAAGGCGAUGAUAGAAACUUCACUACUUGACAUUGCACUCCUUAUUCCCGAAGUAGAAAAGGGUAAUCGAACAUGAUGAUUCUGAAGAUGAUUCCACUGAUCCAGUGAAUGGUUUAGGAAGAAGUGAACUGCCGAGAAACUCAGUGUGAUUUCGUGCCAAAAGGAACGAACGAUGUCAAUGAAGAGGAAACUGUAAGUAUACCCAAAUCUGUUAGUCAACAAAACAGAUAAAAACCUGAAAUGGGAGAAAAAAACUGUACCAG